GGAAAAUUUGUGGUAUAUCUUGGUGCUAACCUUUGCCAUAUAAAGAAGUGUUCCUUUCUCCUCUUCACCUUAAGACAGCUGGCUGAGCCAGAGGAGUGGCAGAUCGGGAGUAUUCCUGUUAUUGCUGACUUAUAAGAAGAACACCAAACCAAGUGAGUUCAGGAAUUCACGAUCAUGCAAACAUGGAAAUCAUACUGUAUUAGGAAUUGGAAGUCCUCAGUUUCACCUACAUUUCUGCCACUAAUGAAUUUCAAGAUUUGGGAGGCAACUGGGAGCCAAUGGAGUUUACUGGAUGGAAGAGGAGGUAGUAUAAUCAGAUGUCCACUAGCAAGCAUGGGCGUGAAGGUUCAAGUAGUUAGUUGUGAUGCUGCCUUCUUGGACUGCCAUUGCAUGGGCACUAGGAACUUCUCCUUUCACUGAGCUGAAAACGUAAACCUGAUUCCAAACCCAUAGGAACCAACCUUCAUUUGCAUUUAACGGGGUGCCCAUCAA